CGAACGGGUGAGUAAUACAUCGGAACGUGUCCGCUCGUGGGGGACAACCAGCCGAAAGGUUGGCUAAUACCGCAUGAGUUCUACGGAAGAAAGAGGGGGACCCGCAAGGGCCUCUCGCGAGCGGAGCGGCCGAUGACUGAUUAGCCAGUUGGUGAGGUAACGGCUCACCAAAGCAACGAUCAGUAGCUGGUCUGAGAGGACGACCAGCCACACUGGGACUGAGACACGGCCCAGACUCCUACGGAAGGCAGCAG
rnacentral:rRNA from 1 species